AUGGCGUCGAAGGAUUCAACACCACCGUAUCAAAGUGCUGCGAGAAUCUCCGAUUCCCAAUGUUUUCCUCAAUACACCGCCUCUCUCAAAUGUUUAGAAGAAUUUAAUACAGAUAAGAGUAAAUGUCAAGAACAUUUUGAUGUUUACAAGGAGUGUAAGAAAAAGGAGAGGGAGGCAAGAUUGGAACGUAAUAAAAGUCGGUCCUUAUUCUCAUGA